rnacentral:rRNA from 1 species
ACUUCCAGCCCACCCUGAAUGUGCCCAAUUUUGUCUGAUCUCAGAAGCUAAGCAGGGUCAGGCCUGGUUAGUACUUGAAUGUGAGAAAGGCAGGGCCCAACGAGGGCCUGAAACUC